UUCGCAGUGGAACAGACAGCAAACAGCAAACAAGAGGAGCAGAACCCAGGACAAGGAGUUUCCGUGGGACCUACCAGAAGCUGGCUGGCAGUUUAGGCUCGCAGUCCUCUCUCUGAAGGCCUCUCCUUGCAUUUAUUGCAAAGGAAAGCGAAUGCAUGAGCGUACUGGUGCGAGGAGAAGCGGAGCAGCAGCGCGCAGGCACGGCUGUGAUCUCGGACAGGCAGUGCUCGUGCGAGUGCAGGUGCCCUGUUUGAUGGAAGCAGCUGCACACGUGUGUGACCGAACUCCCCCUGCUGCUGUCAGGCCAAGGAGAACCUCGGUAAGCAUGGACAAGAGCAGCUCCCAGAGCAGUGGAGGACCCCAGGUGGGAUCUCCCUCUUCACUUGUGCCUGUCCCUGUGAGUCCUUGGGUCUUCCAGCAGCAUCAGGGGACACCACCAGAAACUGCACCAGCUCCUUGAGCCCUUCUCAGCCUGGGACUUCUGUGAAAGCUCAAGAGAGGAAGAGCAACUUCUGCCUGGAGGUGGUCUCCACAAAGACCUCUUGAAGGUAGGUGACGUUGUGGAAAGCAUCCCAAAACCACGAGUCUGCAUCUGAGACGCAAAGAAAUCGUUCUGGUUCACGUGCAGCAGCAGGGUUUUCUUUCACGCUGUGCUCCAAGCACAGUGAUAACCUCAAAUCUUGCUGGUGGUUCACAAAAGCAAAGCCCUUCUUCUUGUCCCUCCAUUUCCCCAUCUGUAAAAGAAGGCUAGGGGCAUGCUUUUUUUUUUUUUUAGCAAAGUGUCUGAAAAUGGGCUUCCUGUAACAAUGACAGUGGUGAAGAGGUCUCAUCUGGAGGCCUGGCUUGUGAGAUCUCAUGGAGGAGCUGUGGCAUACGGUCAUGAGCCUGUCCCUCUAAUGUGGCUUUCUCUUUUAAAAAGCACUGUGCAGAAUGUGAGACACACUAGAUAAGAGUGAAUUUAACGGCUAUUUCCUAUCCUUUGAGGAACAUCAGUAUUGGCUGAAAGAGGGAAAAAGACCUUUUUUGUUGAGACCAGAAUAGACCUGCUUUUACUGGAGGAAUCUGUGAGUGCUUUUGCUGAUAUUUCCUCUGAUAGCUUUUACCUGACUUGUUUUUCAAAAUCCCUGUUGAAAUUUCUCAGUCUUCAAGAACUAUUUCCGUGCUGAAAUUCAAGUUUGGGGUCUGGAAAAAUGUCCAGAAUGAUUUUGCAAAUGGCUCGCUGCGAUGUCAGAGUCGCGGAAAUGGGACAUGCUGUAAGGAAAGUCACCUGUUUAUUUCUGGGAGGGCAGAGAAUUUAUUUUAAACAAUGCCAUUUGCUUUUCAAUUACGGGCGUUUUUGUGGAAAAACAUUGCAGCAGUCUCUAAGAAAGAGCACGUGAUCACAAUUAAAGAAUGUGUUGUGCUGUAUCAGAAGGUAGCAUUUAAACCGAGGAAAGCCUGAAUAUUGACUAUAACUCAUUGUAAUUAUACCAUCUAUUUCAAACAUGUAAAUAUGUUUGGUAGCACUUACAUGUUUAUGUCAGCCAUUGGGAAAAGCAGUUUUCCUUUUUGGUAAACUUCUGAUGAUAAGAAUUUUGUUACUUGCAUUUGAAUAAGCAACAAACAACAAGUUUAGGCACAACACAUUUUCAUGCAGAGAGAAGUUGAUCCUCUCUCUCGUCACUGCAGAAGUUUACCUCUGUUAAGGUUGUUUGUAAUAAUAUUGUGGAUAGGAAAUGUUAAUAAACCGUGCAAAACCGUACAGUUCUGAGCAGAAUACACCAUUCCCGUGUCAAAGUCGGCGUGACAUAGAGGCUUGCACGUGGGACUGGGAGGGGGGUGCCUGGGAAUCUGCUUCUGGCUCUCCUGGGCCAGGUGAACAUCAACAAAACCCUGCUCGUGCCCCUUUCAGCAUCCUUUAACCGCGAAUACCCGUAUUUGGCUCCUUUUGGAAGGGCUCUGAGAUCCACAGAUCAAGAUUGCUCCAGAAGAGCCAGGCACUUUGCUGAAGCCUUAAUACACAAACCCAGCAAAACCUUGAACGCUGAUUUAGCCUGGCACAGGGAGCGAAGACACGUCUCUGCUAAAAUGGAUGAGAAAAUUCCCUCAGCUUCUGGGGACUGGGAUCCUUCGCCAGGGGAAAUUAUUCUGAGCCUAUUUCCCUUCCCUUUGACAUUUUCUGUCUUAUCAAAAGCCAAAUGAGUAAGGAAGAAGGUUAAUGACUAAGCUGACAAAUAAACAUCCAGUUCAAAAAAGCAACAACAUUUCCAGGAAAAAUUAAGAAUCUCCCCUGAACACCAGCUAGGAAUUUAAACCCUGCCGCAUUUAACCCGGGAGGAACCAUCCAUUUGGAGUUCAUUGUGCUACCAGGGCUGCAGCUGGCUGGGGAACAGGACAGGGGGCGGUUUUUCCGUGGAAUGAGGUAGUGGAAAAGUGCAGAAAAGGGAGGAAAAUGAAUUUGGUCGUGAAGAAUGGAAAAGAACAUCACCACUGAGGUAUCCCAGGUACCCACCCCCUGAAGUGGGGCUGUAUAUUGACUACGGGGUCUCGGUUUUUGGACCUCAAAGUAAAAGAGUCCGAGGAACUCAGGCUGUCCUCACCAAAAUGGAAAUGUGUAAGGAGUCACAGGGCAGGAGACUGGUUUUCACCCUGUUGUGGUGUAGGCGUCGGGGCAUGAUGGUGGGAGAUGCUUUGCUUGUGCUCAGAGAAACAGUGUGCUUGGCCUCAAUUUUCCAGGGCUUCGCUCCGCCACAGUAAUGGUGCAUUAACAACAGCUUGAUUUUCAUUCAAUAAAUAAUAGGAAUUAUGUCAUGAUGGAGCCAAGAUUUUAAACAAGAGGCUCCCGUAAACGUUUUCUUCAGGAAUCUGUGAUAAACCAAAGACAGUGUCAGACGUACUCACAGGGAGCAGGGACGGCAGACUUGGACUCUGUCCAUCUGCUUCGCCAUUGAAACAAAACCACUUUAUAAUAACCACAGAGGAGAGGAAGCGAUGCAGCUUGGCAUAUACACUUAUACUAUGUGUGGUGGAAAUGUUUAUUCUUUAUUUCAGGAAGAUUUAGUGGGUGUAGAGAUAAUAGAGCACAGCGCUUGCUUGUGUCUUGGGGAAGGAGGGGUGGUGGUGUUCGGGCUUUAAGGGAGUCCAGUGUCGGCUCCCGAGGGGAAUAUUUUCGCUAAUACCUAUUGCAGUCUCAGGCACUUGGAAGGCAGAAGGAGACAGUGGGAUGAAAUGUGCUUUUUGGGAGAGGUGUUGUAAAGGCCCCAGGAUUAGUUAUCUCUGACAGGAAGGAUUUUACAGACUCUGGUAGAUGGCAGAGUCCUGGCUGUUCCUGACUGCUCCUCCAAGGCCCCAUGCUGGGUGCCUCCCGUGGAACAGCUCGGACCGCAGGGUCCCUCUCCCCGUGAGACAACAUGGGGUGAGCCUCGGGCUCACCCGCUCCACAAAGAACUCCUCUUGCGCCCAUGUGUGCCUCACCUCCUACCCAUGCUGGCUGCCCUAAGGGUCUUCUGGCUCCCGCUGUCUGGCAUCCACCCAAAAUGCUGCAGCACCGUGCUGUGACUUUGGAAACGGGGAAGGAUUUGCAACAGAAGAGUCUGUGGGGUCAGCAGACCACCGCAUCCCAUCCCAUGUGCCCCGCUGUCCCUGGGGCGCUGCUGCCUGUCCCCCCAGCCUGGCCGGUCACACCGCUCCCUGUUGUUGUGCACGUGGAGGGAGCUCUGCUGCGAUUCCUCUCCCUGGGGCUGCUCAAGAUCAAACCCAAACCCUGUGCUGACCCCUGGGGAUGGGAGAGUCCCUGCCAAAUUUUGAGACAGCAUAUGUCUAGACUUGGUGUGCGAGCAAGGGAGUGAAGAGAUGACUAAGUGUCUGAAAGUUUGGGCCUUUGGAGAGAAGUCCCUUGGCUCCUGGUUCCUUGGAUUAAGUUCCAUUUCCUGUGGAGCCAUGGAGAUACUGGAUAUUUUAUCCUGUUUUUUGGCCUUUUUGAAAAAGUAAAAAAUAUAUAGAUAUGUCUUGGGUGAGAAAGCAAAUUUUUGAAAAAAUUUGGCAAGUUGAGAAACAAAAAAAAAUGUGUUGAGUGAAACAUUCCAUAGCGACAAAAAUCAAAACAUCUCACUUUGCCUUCAACCACUUUAAAACAUUUUAAUGGUUUGAAAGGAAAUUUCAAAAUGGAAAGUCAUGUUUUGCUUAAAACACUGGAAAGUGUUUCAUUAACGAGGAAGAGUAGAAGCAAAACAAUUGCCUUUUUUUUUUUUUUUUUUUUUUUUUUUUCCUUCGCAAUAAAUUGGACGGCUCCAUCCCCGACCUGCACCGAGGUCAGGGGCUAGGGCUGUCUUCCCUUACAGUACAAGGGACCUGGAGCUUGGCAGCCCUCGCGUCUGAUGAAGUCAUCUCCCAAGCAGGAAGUUUUUCUGAUUGCCAUAACUACCUUUUACAUUUUUUUAAUACAACUUUGCAGGCUUCAGCUGUCCCUGCUCACCCGCUGAUGCCUACAGAAGUAUUUUUGGCCACGUGGCAGCCUUGCAUCCAGGAGAAUGCAGAAAAGGGGCUGGGGAAGUCCUUCACCUCUUGCGUGCCAUGACACCAUGACAAGUAGAUCUGAAUUGCAGUCCCCAUGGCCUUGGGAUCUCCGCUAGCUUCCCCUGCCCUGAAGAUGUAUGGU